GGGCGAGGCGGGGCGCCGGGGGAGCAACAGUGAGACGCCAUUUUCGGCGGCGGGAGCGGCGCAGGCGGCCGAGCGGAACUGGCUGGGUCGGCUGGGCGGCUGCUGCGAGGAGCCGCGGGGCUGUGCUCGGCGGCCAAGGGGACAGCGCGUGGGCGGCCGAGGAUGCUGCGGGGCGGCCGCGCCGGCGCCCCUCGCUGGUGACUGCUGCGCCGCGCCUCAAACAGCCGAGGUGGGCUCGGCGCGCAGUCGCUGCUCCGCGCGCGCGCCCGGCGGCGCUCCAGGUGCUGACAGCGCGAGAGAGCGCGGCCCUCAGGAGCAAGACGAAUGUAUGACAACAUGUCCACAAUGGUGUACAUAAAGGAAGACAAGUUGGAGAAACUUACACAGGAUGAAAUUAUUUCUAAGACAAAGCAAGUAAUUCAGGGGCUGGAAGCUUUGAAGAAUGAGCACAAUUCCAUUUUACAAAGUUUGCUGGAGACACUGAAAUGUUUGAAGAAAGAUGAUGAAAGUAACUUGGUGGAGGAGAAAUCAAACAUGAUCCGGAAGUCACUGGAGAUGUUGGAGCUCGGCCUGAGUGAGGCACAGGUUAUGAUGGCUUUGUCAAAUCAUCUGAAUGCUGUGGAGUCCGAGAAGCAGAAACUGCGUGCGCAGGUUCGUCGUCUAUGCCAAGAGAAUCAGUGGCUACGGGAUGAACUGGCCAACACACAGCAGAAACUGCAGAAGAGUGAGCAGUCUGUGGCUCAACUGGAGGAGGAGAAGAAGCAUCUGGAGUUUAUGAAUCAGCUAAAAAAAUAUGAUGACGACAUUUCCCCAUCCGAGGACAAAGACACUGAUUCUACCAAAGAGCCUCUGGAUGACCUUUUCCCCAAUGACGAAGACGAGCCAGGGCAAGGAAUCCAGCAGCAGCACAGCAGCGCAGCCGCGGCUGCCCAGCAGGGCGGCUACGAGAUCCCUGCGCGGCUGCGGACGCUCCACAACCUGGUGAUCCAGUACGCCUCGCAGGGGCGCUACGAGGUAGCUGUGCCCCUCUGCAAGCAGGCCCUGGAGGACCUGGAGAAGACUUCAGGACACGACCACCCGGACGUGGCCACCAUGCUCAACAUCCUGGCCUUGGUGUACAGGGAUCAGAAUAAAUACAAAGAUGCAGCUAACCUACUGAAUGAUGCCUUGGCUAUUCGUGAGAAAACUUUGGGCAAAGAUCAUCCUGCGGUGGCGGCGACUUUGAAUAACCUUGCAGUCCUUUAUGGUAAAAGAGGGAAGUACAAAGAAGCAGAGCCAUUGUGUAAAAGAGCUCUGGAAAUCCGAGAAAAGGUUUUGGGGAAGGAUCACCCCGAUGUUGCCAAGCAGUUAAAUAACUUGGCCUUACUGUGCCAGAACCAGGGCAAGUAUGAAGAAGUAGAAUAUUAUUAUCAAAGAGCCCUCGAGAUCUACCAGACAAAACUGGGACCUGAUGACCCCAACGUGGCUAAGACGAAAAAUAACCUGGCAUCCUGCUAUUUGAAACAAGGAAAGUUCAAGCAAGCAGAAACACUGUACAAAGAGAUUCUCACUCGUGCACAUGAAAGGGAGUUUGGUUCUGUAGAUGAUGAAAAUAAGCCCAUCUGGAUGCAUGCUGAAGAAAGAGAAGAAUGCAAAGGAAAGCAAAAGGAUGGGACAUCUUUUGGAGAGUAUGGCGGCUGGUACAAAGCCUGCAAAGUUGAUAGUCCAACUGUUACAACCACUCUAAAAAACCUUGGGGCACUUUACAGACGUCAAGGCAAAUUUGAAGCUGCAGAUACAUUAGAAGAAGCUGCUAUGCGGUCUCGUAAACAGGGUCUUGACAAUGUUCACAAACAGAGGGUGGCGGAAGUGCUCAAUGACCCUGAGAACAUGGAGAAGCGCAGGAGCCGUGAGAGCCUCAACGUGGACGUGGUCAAGUACGAGAGUGGCCCUGACGGAGGGGAGGAAGUGAGUAUGAGCGUAGAGUGGAACGGGGAUGGCACUGGAUCUUUAAAACGCAGUGGUUCCUUUAGCAAACUCCGGGCUUCCAUUAGACGCAGCAGUGAGAAGCUGGUUAGGAAGCUGAAGGGAGGAAGUUCACGAGAGAGUGAGCCAAAGAACCCCGGCAUGAAGCGUGCCAGCUCUCUGAAUGUCCUUAACGUGGGUGGCAAGGCUGCUGAAGAUCGCUUUCAAGAACGAAAUAAUUGUCUGGCCGACUCGCGAGCUCUGAGUGCCAGCCACACUGACCUGGCCCUCUGAGGGCCGGCAGGGCUAGGGCGUCUCUGGCCGAGCCUCUUUUUGUGGAAAACGACAGCAGCAGCAGUGGCCUGGAAGACGCCACCGCUAACUGACCCCGACCUGGCCCCGCUCCAGGAUGGGACUGCCGAGUGUGGCCCGGAGCUGGCCCGGGACAGCCAGGGCGGCAGGGAGGGCCCCUGGCCGGGAGCUGCGGCGCCCACUCAUUUCUCCUGCGUCUGUGUGUGGGGGGCAUGAUACUAAUGACCACAAGGCUGGCGUGACCUUGGGGCUGGAGCUGGGCCUAAGCUGGUGCCCUGGUGCGGCGUGGCCUCUCCCAGGAGACCUGGGGCAUGAGCUGGGCCCACGGCUCCCUUCCCAUGUGUAACCUCCUCACGUUGUGUGCGAUAAUGUAUUCUAUUGUACAUUUUUUUAAAUUAAAAGUUUAUAUGCCUUA